AAGCCAGCCAAUGAAUGUUGAUUACCUGAAUAUGCUUCUGCAGAAAGUUUUAAAAAGCUGGCAAUAGUAAAGCCAUGUUACGAGCCUUAAGGACAUUAAAGUUGUUAAGAUCCCUGAAAAUGGCUCUAACA